rnacentral:lncRNA from 1 species
GUGGAUAGACAGGGUGGGUGGGUGGGUGGAUGGAUGAAUAGGAUAGGUGGAUGGGUGGAUAGACAGGGUGGGUGGGUGGGUGGAUGGACAGUGUGGGUGGGUGGAUAGGGUGGGUGGGUGGUCAUUCAUCACUCCUUCUUCCCUCAGCAAUGGGUCUUGGGCAGUCCCUGCUUCUAACAACCCCUGACAUUCACUCUGCCCUGGGUCUCUGAGGUCUUCUAGAACCCAGGACUCCACCAGCCUCCCAGGGCCUAGGUGAAAAUCUGUGCAGGGGAGGGGGGCCUAUGGGGAACCCAGGGUGUCAGGAGGCGAGGGGAGACAAGAAUGGGUGUGAAGCAGCCUCAUGAAGAAAGGAGAGCCUCAGAGGCAACCCCCAGCACAGCCAUCCUCAAUCCCAGAUGGGCCACGAAAGCCACCUGCCUGCUCCCAGUGGCCACAGGGCCCAUGAGAGGCUACACUGCUAGCAGC